GCUAGGCGCCGUGGCCCACGCCUGUAAUCCUAGCAGCCCAGGAGGCUGAGGCAGGAGGAUCGCGAGUUCAAAGCCAGCCUCUACAGAUUAGUGAGGCCCUAAGCAACCAGUGAGACCUGUCUCUA
rnacentral:sRNA from 1 species